GGAUGUGAGGGCGAUCCUGUUGUGACAUCUGUCACCCCAUUGAUCGCCAGGGUUGAUUCGGCUGAUCUGGCUGGCUAGGCGGGUGUCCCCUUCCUCCCUUACCACUCCAUGUGCGUCCCUCUCGAAGCUGCGCGCUCGGUUGAAGAGGAUGACCAUCCCCGAUAGAGGAGGACCAGUCUUCUGUCAAGGGUAUAUGAGUAGCUGCGCUCCCCUGCUAGAACCUCCAAACAAGCUCUCAAGGUCACAGCGUGAUCUUUCAGGAUUUGAAAUAGCUCAACUGAAAUUCCAUCACCUCCACUAGCUUUGUUCAUAGU
rnacentral:snRNA from 1 species